rnacentral:rRNA from 1 species
AUUGAACGCUGGCGGCAGGCUUAACACAUGCAAGUCGAGCGAGCUGCGGACGGGUGAGUAAUGUCUGGGAAACUGCCUGAUGGAGGGGGAUAACUACUGGAAACGGUAGCUAAUACCGCAUACCAUCAGAUGUGCCCAGAUGGGAUUAGCUAGUAGGUGGGGUAAUGGCUCACCUGGGCGACGAUCCCUAGCUGGUCUGAGAGGAUGACGAGCAACACGGGAACUGGGACACGGCCCAGCUUCCUAGGGGAGGCAGAAGUGGGGAAUAUUGCACAAUGGGGGAAAGCCGGAUGCAGCCAGGCCGCGUGUGGGAAGAAGGCCUUCGGUUUGUAAAGUACUUUCAGCGAGGAGGCGUUACUCGCAGAAGAAGCACCGGCUAACUCCGUGCCAGCAGCCGCGGUAAUUC